GGGUCCGCCUGGCAGCCUACGAGAAGAGGCGGGAGCGGGAAAGGAGGGGAGCCGAGGCCCGGCGUGGGGAGGCCGGCAGCAAGGGCUGCGAGCCCUGCGCGGACCUUUCUUCAGCCUCCACGCGGCCCGGCGGAGCGCUAGGUUACUGCGCCGCGAGGACGUCCGGACUUCCUCAGACCGGGACUCGACGGGAGCAGAAAAAGCGAGACCCGUACUUGGGGCGCGCCCCCGAGCCCGGGGCUCCGGCGGGACCGCUGCGACCCCGCCCCCCCCGGCCCGGGACCCCGCCGUGGGAAAGCCCAGCUGGCGGGACGCGGCGUGGAACUGCAGGGGAGGCCUGAGCUCCCGGCGUCGGGAGGCGGCGGAGGAGUUCACUGUUGAGCGGUGCUUUGUUUGCAGUCAAACUCGUUGCAGAGUUCUCAGAAUUCCCCCUCGGAGAAGCGGAAAGUUGGGGAAGUGCAAGCUGGUUACCCAGACGGCGGGUGGGCUGAGCAUCGCUUGGCGGGGUGCAGGCCGGGACGGGAACUCAGCGGAGGGGCGGAGUUGUCCGGAAGAAACCUUAAGACGUCCUGGCCCGACAGCUACCUGCUCCACAGGAGGGAAAGAAGGGUCCGACCGAACUUGAGCACCGCGGCAGAAUCCGGGCUGGAGCUCAGCUCGCAGGCCCACCACCGGCUUCCUUUCCCUUCACCAAGUUUGCAGCCUGGAGGAGAGCCUACGGCACAUCUGAAGAGGGAGAAGCCAUCUUGCCUCUAUGACUAGACAGGCAUGAGGAUAAAAUCUCUGUGAGGAUAAUGGAACAAAGUUGUAGGAGGGGCCUAGAGUCCCUUCCUUUAGACUUCUUGUUAUGUGAGGAAAAUAAAAUGCUACUACAAGGUUAAGCCA
rnacentral:lncRNA from 1 species